AUGUGCCGGUUUUGUCUCCACUUCCCAUUGGAUUUGCUGUAUUCAUGGUUCAUUUGGCAACCAUCCCGCUACUCCCUUCCAAUUUCCUUCGUCCUCCCUGCUGCUGUCACGGCUAGGGUAAGCAUUGAAGCCGGAACAACGUUUGGAUGGGAGAAAAUAGUUGGAAGCAAAGGAAAAGCGAUCGGUAUCGACCGUUUCGGAGCUAGUGCUCCAGCAGGAAAAAUAUACAAGGAGUUUGGUAUCACUAAGGAGGCUGUUAUUGCUGCAGCAAAAGAGGUUCUUUAG